rnacentral:lncRNA from 12 species
UGCAUUGGAUCAGAUUUCACCGAGCUCUUUACUGCCUCGACAAAGCUGUUGCCAAGUAAGAGGAAUUUCCCGGGGGGGGGGGGGGGGGGGGGGAGGAAGAAGGGGCUGGUAACUUGUGGCAGUCACUGCAGAUAUCCUAUAUUUUAAAUAGUGCUAAUCCACAAGCAAUUGAACAGUCAUUAAGAAACAGGGCCCAGUGAGUACAAAGAUGGGCAAAGGCGACACACUGGAGACCAUUUGGGUAGUGGGAUGGUGUCCAACAGGGGAAAUUAGUACUCUCUCUUCUCUAAGGACCCCUGGAUGUGUGGUGACUCCUAGGACAGAGAUUUCUCUUUUUUUUUUUUUUUUUUUGAGAUUUCUCAAACCUUUAAUAUUUCCUGGAAAAGAGAAGAGGUUGAGGGGGCUCUGUUUUCAGGGGAAGAACACCUCGCUGUACCAUAUUACCUAUAAUCGACGCCAAGAGAGUCGCAGGAGGAUGGAGGCAUGUGGAUGGCAGAGAACAUCCCUGGAGGUUCAGCUUGUUAAAGGCAGCAUCGACUUGAUCGAUAACUGAUGGGAAGGAGUGUAUUAAUAGCUCUGCUCCGUCACCGCUCAGGUGGCACGAGCCCGAGGUGCAUUUUCUACACUGGCUCCCAGUGAUGGCAGCAGGAUUAAGCUCUAAUUGUCUGCAGCGAUGACUCGCUUGAUAACAAACCUGUCAUUGGCUGUCUUCCCUUUGCCCUCUCACUUCCUUGAAAACUCCCCUGAUGGUGUUUCUCGAGAUUUCCUCUCAAAUAAACUGUUUACACUUGAUUUUGUGUUUUAGGAU